rnacentral:rRNA from 1 species
AGUUGAUAGUAUAUAUAAAGUUGUUGCAGUUAAAAAGCUCGUAGUUGAAACUUGGGUGCGUAGGGGCGGUCUCUUUUAGAGUACUACCCUGAAACAUCUUUCUUUGGUGUAAACUYUCUAUUYAYUUARGRAGUGUAAACCAAACAUUUACUUUGAAAAAAUUAGAGUGUUCAAAGCAGGCCUUUGCUCGAAUAUAUUAGCAUGGAAUAAUAGAAUAGGACGUAUGGUUCUAUUUUGUUGGUUUCUAGGACCGUCGUAAUGAUUAAUAGGGACGGUCGGGGGCAUCAGUAUUCAGUUGUCAGAGGUGAAAUUCUUGGAUUUACUGAAGACUAACUACUGCGAAAGCAUUUGCCAAGGACGUUUUCAUUAAUCAAGAACGAAAGUUAGGGGAUCGAAGACGAUCAGAUACCGUCGUAGUCUUAACCGUAAACUAUGCCGACUAGGGAUCGGAGGGCGUUAUAAUAACCUCUCCGGCACCUUACGAGAAAUCAAAGUUUUUGGGUUCUGGGGGGAGUAUGGUUGCAAGGCUGAAACUUAAAGGAAUUGACGGAAGGGCACCACCAGGAGUGGAGCCUGCGGCUUAAUUUGACUCAACACGGGGAAACUCACCAGGUCCAGACACAAUAAGGAUUGACAGAUUGAGAGCUCUUUCAUGAUUUUGUGGGUGGUGGUGCAUGGCCGUUCUUAGUUGGUGGAGUGAUUUGUCUGCUUAAUUGCGAUAACGAACGAGACCUUAACCUGCUAAAUAGCUGUAACAAUAGAUUAUUGUUUUGACAGCUUCUUAGAGGGACUAUCGAUUUUCAAGUCGAUGGAAUAAAGG